rnacentral:rRNA from 1 species
GAUGAACGCUGACAGAAUGCUUAACACAUGCAAGUCUACUUGAAUUUGGGUUUUUUAACUUAGAUUUGGGUGGCGGACGGGUGAGUAACGCGUAAAGAACUUGCCUCACAGCUAGGGACAACAUUUGGAAACGAAUGCUAAUACCUGAUAUUAUGAUUUUAAGGCACCUUAGAAUUAUGAAAGCUAUAUGCGCUGUGAGAGAGCUUUGCGUCCCAUUAGCUAGUUGGAGAGGUAACGGCUCACCAAGGCGAUGAUGGGUAGCCGGCCUGAGAGGGUGAACGGCCACAAGGGGACUGAGACACGGCCCUUACUCCUACGGGAGGCAGCAGUGGGGAAUAUUGGACAAUGGACCAAGAGUCUGAUCCAGCAAUUCUGUGUGCACGAUGACGUUUUUCGGAAUGUAAAGUGCUUUCAGUUGGGAAGAAAAAAAUGACGGUACCAACAGAAGAAGUGACGGCUAA